AUGCCUGUUUGGAGCUCCGCUCUUGCCCUUCCAGCCUCUGUACAAACUUUUCUCCUGCUUCAAGUUUCCCUGGCGGAGGCGGGGCCACACUGUGCGCGGCCCGGGCGCCCAUUGGCCAGACCGGGAGGGGGCGGGGCGCGUGCUAGCUCCUCUGCGCGGCGAGGAAGCUCCGCGGGCAGGAGGGAGGGGCUCCGGGCUGCGCGGAUCCCACCGCGCCUCGGCGGGCGGCUCCCUGCAGCUUUCCCGCCCUCCAACGAGGUAGGGGAGGGGGUGUUGGAGACUUGGUCCUCUCGCCUCAGGCAGGUGGUGCGGAGAAGCAGUGGUCCGCGGGAACCCUGGGGAAGCCCCAGUGCUCUUCUGUGCACCCUCUUAGGUACUCUGAAGUCGGCAUCCAGCGGGGCCAGCUCUGAAACCGGCAUCUCUUCUUCCUCACUGCCUCCCGCUCCAAGUGGGCUGUUUCUCGCACCUACUUCACGCGGGUCGCAACAUCUGGGUGCUGGGAAGGGAGGUCAGCGGCUUAGGACUCUACUUUGGAACGCCCGAGCAGACACUAGAAGAAGCCAGUGGAGGAAGGUCACAAGAGAACCAGGCAGUGCGGCUGCUUUCCCAGUAACUCAAAGGCAUCAGGUGGAGGCAAAAGAGGCAGAAACAAAAAAAACAAAGGUAACUUUUAAGCUUCUGAGAACUGGAAGGUGACAUCUGAGAAUGGCAUGGAAAAAGACAAAGGGGAAGAGCAUGGGGAGUGAGAGAGAGCCCGGGUCUAUGAAUAAACUCAGUGGUCCGCAUGGGUUUCAGUCUAGCCUGUCUUCCCUGUUUCCCAUCCAGAUA
rnacentral:lncRNA from 1 species